UAGUUUAGCAUACUCGUUCCCACGACCGAACUACGCAUAAAAAGCAAAUAUAUAUAAGUUUUCAAUUCAGGCAGGCAGCCACGGCAACCGCACCAUCUGGCUCUGAAUGGAGGUAUAGAGUGGAAUAUGGCUAAAAAGGAAGGUGUUAUCUGAUUGCCAUUUUAAACACAGCGCCGCUGCUGCAGCAAUUUCGAGUGCAAUUGGCAAAAGCGUUGGCCAAAUCAAAAGCGAAGCCCACUGAAAGGAGUGGCGAGCGCAUAUAAAGCAGCAACAGCAGCACCGCCAGGAUUGAAUGAAUGGCGGUUCCAGUGUUGCCAGGAUCCUUCUCCGCUCUAGAAAAAAAAAAAUACCCCUGGCUAGUGCCUGAAGGGACAUUAAAAGAUAAUCGGCACCAAGUAGAAGCGCAAUCAGAGUUUCCCCGAAGAGGAUGAAAGACAAGCGGACACAUUCCGUAUUUGUCAACGGAUGCGGAUUGUGAAAGCCAAGUUGUCAAACGAUUAAUCCCUUACAGAGCGUGGUACAUAAGCUAGAUCAUCCCAUUUGCCUAGGAAUAUUCAAGGGUUAUGUGUAGAAUAUGCUUAAAUAUUUUUAAAUUUAAAAAUUUGUUGUUUAAUACCAAUUUAGUAUGAUGAUGGUUUUCAAAAUAAUUAUAGUGAUCACAUGCUCAAAAAUGGUUUAUCAAAAAUCAGAAGCUAAUAAAAUUACAUAGCAAGGGCAAAUAGCUUUAAACGAUUUUGUCAUAUAUGUAAAAGGUCAAUACUAAUAUUAUUUUAGCAUUUAUCAUAACCAAAUUCACAUUGAAGCAAUAAU
ensembl:ncRNA lncRNA:CR45680 long non-coding RNA:CR45680